GCCUAACACAGCAAGUCGAGCGGAUGAGUGGAGCUUGCUCAUGAUUCAGCGGCGGACGGUGAGUAAUGCCUAGGAAUCUGCCUGGUAUGGGGGACAACGUUUCGAAGGAACGCUAAUACCGCAUACGUCCUACGGAGAAAGUGGGGGAUCUUCGACCUCACGCUAUCAGAUGAGCCUAGGUCGAUUAGCUAGUUGGCGAGGUAAGGCUCACCAAGGCGACGAUCCGUAACUGUCUGAGAGGAUGAUCAGUACACUGGAACUGAGACACGGUCCAGACUCUACGGGAGGCANCAGUGGGAAUAUUGGACAAUGGGCGAAAGCCUGAUCAGCCAUGCCGCGUGUGUGAGAAGGUCUUCGGAUUGUAAAGCNCUUUAAUUGGGAGGAAGGGCAGUAAUUAAUACCUUGCUGUUUUGACGUUACCGAAGAAUAAGCNCCGGCUAACUCGUGCCAGCAGCCGCGGUAAUACGAAGGUGCAAGCGUUAAUCGGAAUACUGGGCGUAAAGCGCGCGUAGGUGGUUCUUAAGUUGGAUGUGAAAGCCCGGGCUCAACCUGGGAACUGCAUCCAAACUGGCGAGCUAGAGUAGGCGAG
rnacentral:rRNA from 2 species